UACGUAGGGUGCAAGCGUUAAUCGGAAUUACUGGGCGUAAAGCGUGCGCAGGCGGUUAUGUAAGACAGUUUGUGAAAUCCCCGGGCUCAACCUGGGAACUGCAUCUGUGACUGCAUAGCUAGAGUACGGUAGAGGGGGAUGGAAUUCCGCGUGUAGCAGUGAAAUGCGUAGAUAUGCGGGAGGAACACCGAUGGCGAAGGCAAUCCCCUGGACCUGUACUGACGGCUCAUGCAC
rnacentral:rRNA from 1 species